rnacentral:rRNA from 1 species
CCUACGGGCGGCUGCAGUGGGGAAUAUUGGACAAUGGGCGAAAGCCUGAUCCAGCCAUGCCGCGUGUGUGAAGAAGGCCUUCGGGUUGUAAAGCACUUUCAGUGGGGAAGAAAGCCUUGGGGCUAAUACCCUCGAGGAAGGACAUCACCCACAGAAGAAGCACCGGCUAACUCCGUGCCAGCAGCCGCGGUAAUACGGAGGGUGCGAGCGUUAAUCGGAAUUACUGGGCGUAAAGCGCGCGUAGGCGGUCUGAUAAGCCGGUUGUGAAAGCCCCGGGCUCAACCUGGGAACGGCAUCCGGAACUGUCAGGCUAGAGUGCGGGAGAGGAAGGUAGAAUUCCCGGUGUAGCGGUGAAAUGCGUAGAGAUCGGGAGGAAUACCAGUGGCGAAGGCGGCCUUCUGGACUGACACUGACGCUGAGGUGCGAAAGCGUGGGUAGCAAACAGGAUUAGAUACCCUAGUAGUC